rnacentral:rRNA from 1 species
UGAGGAAUAUUGGUCAAUGGGGCGAGAGCCUGAACCAGCCAAGUAGCGUGCAGGACGACGGCCCUAUGGGUUGUAAACUGCUUUUAUACGGGAAUAAAGUGAUGCCUGCGGGCGUUAUUGCAUGUACCGUACGAAUAAGGACCGGCUAAUUCCGUGCCAGCAGCCGCGGUAAUACGGAAGGUCCGGGCGUUAUCCGGAUUUAUUGGGUUUAAAGGGAGCGUAGGCCGGAGAUUAAGCGUGUUGUGAAAUGCCGCGGCUCAACCGUGGCACUGCAGCGCGAACUGGUUUUCUUGAGUGCGCGCGACGCAGGCGGAAUUCGUGGUGUAGCGGUGAAAUGCUUAGAUAUCACGAGGAACCCCGAUUGCGAAGGCAGCUUGCGGGAGCGCAACUGACGCUGAAGCUCGAAGGUGCGGGUAUCGAACAGGAUUAGAUACCCUGGUAGU